rnacentral:rRNA from 1 species
CUACGGGUUGCUCCAGUGAGGAAUAUUGCACAAUGGGGGGAACCCUGAUGCAGCAACGCCGCGUGGAGGAUGACGCAUUUCGGUGUGUAAACUCCUUUUAUAUGUCAAGAAAAUGACGGUAGCAUAUGAAUAAGCACCGGCUAACUCCGUGCCAGCAGCCGCGGUAAUACGGAGGGUGCAAGCGUUACUCGGAAUCACUGGGCGUAAAGGACGCGUAGGCGGGUGGGAAAGUCAGGUGUGAAAUCCUACAGCUUAACUGUAGAACUGCACUUGAAACUUCUAAUCUAGAGUAUGGGAGGGGGAGAUGGAAUUAGUGGUGUAGGGGUAAAAUCCGUAGAUAUCACUAGGAAUACCUAAAGCGAAGGCGAUCUCCUGGAACAUUACUGACGCUAAGGCGUGAAAGCGUGGGGAGCAAACAGGAUUAUAUACCCUCGUAGUC